UACGUAGGGUGCGAGCGUUAAUCGGAAUUACUGGGCGUAAAGCGUGCGCAGGCGGUCUUGCAAGACAGUGGUGAAAUCCCCGGGCUCAACCUGGGAACGGCCAUUGUGACUGCAAGGCUGGAGUACGGCAGAGGGGGAUGGAAUUCCGCGUGUAGCAGUGAAAUGCGUAGAUAUGCGGAGGAACACCGAUGGCGAAGGCAGUCCCCUGGGCCUGUACUGACGCUCAUGCACGAAAGCGUGGGGAGCAAACAGGAUUAGAUACCCUGGUAGUCCACGCCCUAAACGAUGUCAACUGGUUGUUGGGGAUUUACUUCCUCAGUAACGAAGCUAACGCGUGAAGUUGACCGCCUGGGGAGUACGGCCGCAAGGUUAAAACUCAAAG
rnacentral:rRNA from 1 species